AUUGAACGCUGGCGGCAUGCCUUACACAUGCAAGUCGAACGGCAGCACGGACUUCGGUCUGGUGGCGAGUGGCGAACGGGUGAGUAAUGUAUCGGAACGUACCUUUCAGUGGGGGAUAACGUAGCGAAAGUUACGCUAAUACCGCAUAUUCUGUGAGCAGGAAAGCAGGGGAUCGCAAGACCUUGCGCUGAUUGAGCGGCCGAUAUCAGAUUAGCUAGUUGGUGGGGUAAAGGCCUACCAAGGCGACGAUCUGUAGCGGGUCUGAGAGGAUGAUCCGCCACACUGGAACUGAGACACGGUCCAGACUCCUACGGGAGGCAGCAGUGGGGAAUUUUGGACAAUGGGGGCGAACCCUGAUCCAGCCAUGCCGCGUGAGUGAAGAAGGCCUCGGUUGUAAGACUC
rnacentral:rRNA from 1 species